CCCCCCAAAACUUUCAACAACGGAUCUCUUGGUUCUGGCAUCGAUGAAGAACGCAGCGAAAUGCGAUAAGUAGUGUGAAUUGCAGAAUUCAGUGAAUCAUCGAAUCUUUGAACGCACAUUGCGCCCUUUGGUAUUCCUUAGGGCAUGCCUGUUCGAGCGUCAUUUAACCCUUCAAGCAUUGCUUGGUGUUGGGCGCUUGUCCCGCCUCGGGCGCGGACUCGCCUUAAAAACAUUGGCGGCCUGUGUAUUGGCUUCGAGCGCAGCAGAUUCGCGCCUUCGACCCAGCACAUUGGCAUUCCAGCAAGCUCUUUCACCCAAUUUUGACCUCGGAUCAGGUAGGGAUACCCGCUGAACUUAAGCAUAUCAAUAAGCGGAGGAA
rnacentral:rRNA from 1 species